GACGAACGCUGGCGGCGUGCUUAACACAUGCAAGUCGAACGGAAAGGCCCUGCUUUUGUGGGGUGCUCGAGUGGCGAACGGGUGAGUAACACGUGAGUAACCUGCCCUUGACUUUGGGAUAACUUCAGGAAACUGGGGCUAAUACCGGAUAGGAGCUCCUGCUGCAUGGUGGGGGUUGGAAAGUUUCGGCGGUUGGGGAUGGACUCGCGGCUUAUCAGCUUGUUGGUGGGGUAGUGGCUUACCAAGGCUUUGACGGGUAGCCGGACUGAGAGGGUGACCGGCCACAUUGGGACUGGGAUACGGCCCAGACUCCUACGGGAGGCAGCAGUGGAGAAUAUGCACAAUGGGCGGAAGCCUGAUGCGGCAACGCCGCGUGCGGGAUGACGGCCUUCGGGUUGUAAACCGCUUUCGCCUGUGACGAAGCGUGAGUGACGGUAAUGGGUAAAGAAGCACCGGCUAACUACGUG
rnacentral:rRNA from 1 species